rnacentral:tRNA from 1 species
CCCCUCUUAACUCAGUUGGUAGAGCGUGUCACUAGUAUUGUAUAGUACUCAUACCAGAGACUUUUCCAAUGACGAGGUCAGUCGUUCAAGUCGGCUAGAGGGAA